UACAGAGGUCUCAAGCGUUGUUCGGAUUCAUUGGGCGUAAAGGGUGCGUAGGUGGCUUUGUAAGUCAGUGGUGAAAUCUCGGAGCUUAACUCCGCAACUGCCAUUGAUACUGCUUAGCUUGAAUCAAGUAGAGGUGGAUGGAAUAUUACAUGUAGCGGUGAAAUGCUUAGAUAUGUAAUAGAACACCGAUUGCGAAGGCAGUUCACUAUGCUUGUAUUGACACUGAGGCACGAAAGCGUGGGGAUCAAACAGG
rnacentral:rRNA from 1 species